GGUUAAGCGACUAAGCGUACACGGUGGAUGCCCUGGCAGUCAGAGGCGAUGAAGGACGUGCUAAUCUGCGAUAAGCGUCGGUAAGGUGAUAUGAACCGUUAUAACCGGCGAUUUCCGAAUGGGGAAACCCAGUGUGAUUCGUCACACUAUCAUUAACUGAAUCCAUAGGUUAAUGAGGCGAACCGGGGGAACUGAAACAUCUAAGUACCCCGAGGAAAAGAAAUCAACCGAGAUUCCCCCAGUAGCGGCGAGCGAACGGGGAGGAGCCCAGAGCCUGAAUCAGUGUGUGUGUUAGUGGAAGCGUCUGGAAAGGCGCGCGAUACAGGGUGACAGC
rnacentral:rRNA from 1 species